GAAGUUUCUAAUAAAACUCUUCUGCAUCUCCUAACAAACACUGCCAUCCAAAUAUUUGAGCAACCUGGCAGUUCUGGAUAAUAAGUGUGAAAUGGCCAGUGUGUUCCAUAUCAAACACUAACUGACCCAACCACGCGUAUACCCAACAUUGAUUUGCCAUGCCAUUCGUGGCCCUUUCUGAACCUAUACAGUAUGGGCUAGGGUCAGUGUGCAGACAGCCUCCAAACCUGGGGCCAAUGAGAGGAUCCCACAUUCGGAUGUGCCAAAGACAGACACUAUCACUCAUGACUGCCCUUUGACCAGAUGUGAUGGUUGUCUGAGGCCUCUGCACUUUGCUGAUGAGGCUGCUGCAAAUUAGCUUGGCAACCUCUGCAUUUGAUAAGGUAUCAAACACUUAUGUCGCUAUUCUCUGUAUCCUUUUUAUAAGUUUUCCAGAGGUCAAAUAUGUUCUGUGAAUUAAAAUUACUGUCAGUCUGUCCCUGGUAUUUAUCAGCAUGGUUCUCACCUGAUCACAUAUUUUAGCCUGAUGUGUGAAGAGAUACUAUAUUCAAAAAUCCACUUGGCUUUACAUGUAAAACAAUUACACUGUGUAGCAAGCAUUGCAAAUCACAAAUUUCAGAGAAGCGUGCAAGACACAACUUGCACAGUAUGCUAUGAACUAACCAAACAAGCCAUGUAUUAACCUGGGGAAAUUUCAGUAUUCUGUAAACAACUUGUUGCCAAAGGUUUUUAACUAAAAGCAUUUUGGAUUAAGAGGAAGUUAAGAAGUGCACUUUGGGACUGCAGCAGUGGGAAGGUUCAAAAUUGAAGACUUCCUGGCUAAUACCUUAUUCAUGGCCCCCAGGCAGAGUGCUGCUGAAAGAGUGAGCAUCUCUACAACCUUGCGCAGAUACAAAAUUUGUAUCCGCAUCUGAUCCGUGGACCAUGUUCAUGAUUAUCCACAGAUUUGCAGGGCUCUAAGCAUCUCCUGUCCCUCUCUAGUACCUCCAGCACCCAACUUGGGAGUAGCAUAGAUGGCCAGUAGGGGAAGUUGCCUAGAGGUGCAACUGGAAGGUUGGAGGGGAGUCAAACUCAGAUGUAGGGAAGAAUGAGGCUGCAAUCCUCAAAACGACGAGAAUUUCUGCAAGCCCCCUGUGGUAGAGAAGGUGAAGUUAUUUAGCAUGUCUGUACAAAAGUAACUCUCCUGAAUCAAGCUCCUGUUGUAGUCAUAUGUCAGUAAUAGUGAUCGCUGCUUGGACUAUUAACAGGUGUCUGGAAGUCAGUCCAAGAUCAAAGGUUCACUCUGAAGAGUUUCUAUACUCUGAUCAGAUCGCUAUCUCAUGGUCAGACCUAUUGUAGAUGGCAUUCUUAAGAUCCCUUUUUUGUCUUAUUUUUCUAAUCCAAGAAGGCAGACUCUCUGCUAGUGUAACUCUAAGGUAAAUUUUAUGUCUUAUCCUGUUGAGUGAUGCAUUCCUUCUCCUGCUUCCUGUUCUAAAUGUUUCUUCGUGCAUCUGGGGUGCAGUCUCAGGUAGGUGACAUUCCAAGGUGCUGGAUCUAAGGACACUUUGUCAGAUGGUUUAAAACGAUCCCUUCCCUGUUGCCUUCAAAAGAACUUUACUAUUUUCAGUGCAGCCUAAUGCAAUUGUGUCCCACCUGAUAACCAGUGCAAGGGAUACUGGGGGCUGCCUCAGCACUUCUAAAGGGGAGCUGAGGCAGUAGCAGUAAAAGAAUUUGGAGCUCAGCUCAGAACUGAGGGCACUGGGCAGGAGACAGUCAGACCCUGCAGGAUGUGGUUCUGGGACAAAUAGGGGACCACAUCAAUUGCUGAGGUGAUGGGAUGUGUCAUACGGGGGGCAUUUAAUCUGCUUGGACCAGCUUUGUUUUACCUAUACCAUAUUGGUGUAUGAGGAUUUCUUGGGAUUGUGUGACACCGAUAAGUGUUGAAGAGUUAAAUCCUGCUUCCUUGCGAAUGAACUUUGCCACAAAAUGGAUGAAGUCAGUUAAUUUGGAGGCCUGAACCUGAUGUACAACAUCUUACUAGAUUUGGAGUCUGUAUUCCUUUCCAAAACUAUCAUUUUCAGACUUAUACUGAAAAACUCUGUUUGUAUUUGCUCCUAGGGGCUGUGUCCUUAAAGGGAAAGUGGUGUUUACUACAAAUGAUGAUUCUCCCUAUGACAUAGCAGUGGUAGAACUAGAAGAAAGCUUACUGUGUUUUGCAGAACCUGUUCUAGCUACCAAGUUUGGUGCAGGAGAAGAAGUGAGUGUUGUUGGCUUUGGUGUGUUCGGCCAGUGCUGCGGCCCAUCAGUGACAUCAGGAAUCUUGUCAGCUGUGAUCACGGUGGAUGAGAAGCCAGUGAUGCUUCAGACAACCUGUGCGAUUCAUGGUGGCUCAAGUGGGGGGGCCCUUUUCUCUACAAACAGCGGAAAGCUCCUUGGGAUUGUUGCUAGCAACACAAAGGACAACAGCAUAGGAGCUACAUACCCUCACCUGAACUACAGUGUUCCUAUCACAGUUCUACAGCCAGCAGUCUUGCAGUACAGCCGUACUGGAGACCUGCAUGGUUUCCAGGAGCUGAACAGGGCCAAUGACAGAAUCAGACUAGUGUGGCGGCUCCAAAGAAAGACCACAGAGGUACCACACAGCAAGCUAUGAGGCUGGCCAUCUCAAAGAAAGGGUGAAGGUGGCAGAAUACUCCCACGAACAGGGAAAGAUGCGAACUGGAGCGAUGUUGCCACUAGUGCUUCAACAUCUUCUGCAAGAUGGAGGCUUUCUAGUACUGAUAAUGGAAAUUGUGGCUGCAAUUACACCAUGGUUUCAAGAAGCUGAAUGGGCAGCCUUAUAGCCAGUUUUACUGGUCUGAGCAGCUCCCAGCUUUGCAAAGUGUAGAACACUGGAAGGAGUUUUCUGAAGCCCACAACACAUCUCGCUUACACGCACACAAAAUUCUAAUCAAUACUUUGGACAAGACAAAGCUGCAGUCUAUGUGAUCACCUAUUGUCAUUGAACCCUCCUCUUCUCCUCCCCCCUCAAUCCCUAAUAAAUGGACCUGACACCACCAAUGUA